rnacentral:rRNA from 1 species
AUUGAACGCUGGCGGCAGGCCUAACACAUGCAAGUCGAGCGGCAGCGGAAAGUAGCUUGCUACUUUGCCGGCGAGCGGCGGACGGGUGAGUAAUGUCUGGGAAACUGCCUGAUGGAGGGGGAUAACUACUGGAAACGGUAGCUAAUACCGCAUAACGUCGCAAGACCAAAGAGGGGGACCUUCGGGCCUCUUGCCAUCAGAUGUGCCCAGAUGGGAUUAGCUAGUAGGUGGGGUAACGGCUCACCUAGGCGACGAUCCCUAGCUGGUCUGAGAGGAUGACCAGCCACACUGGAACUGAGACACGGUCCAGACUCCUACGGGAGGCAGCAGUGGGGAAUAUUGCACAAUGGGCGCAAGCCUGAUGCAGCCAUGCCGCGUGCAUGAAGAAGGCCUUCGGGUUGUAAAGUACUUUCAGCGGGGAGGAAGGCGUUGAGGUUAAUAACCUCAGUGAUUGACGUUACCCGCAGAAGAAGCACCGGCUAACUCUGUGCCAGCCGCCGCCGUAA